rnacentral:rRNA from 1 species
GAUGAACGCUGGCGGCGUGCCUAAUACAUGCAAGUCGAGCGCACAGACGAGGAGCUUGCUCCUCUGACGUUAGCGGCGGACGGGUGAGUAACACGGGGAUAACCUACCUAUAAGACUGGGAUAACUUCGGGAAACCGGCUCUAACACCGUAUCAUAUAUUGAUCCACAUCGUUCAAUAGUGAAAUACGGUUUUGCUGUUACCUAUAGAUGGAUCCGCGCCGCAUUAGCUAGUUGGUAAGAUAACGGCUUACCAAGGCAACGAUGCGUAGCCGACCUGAGAGGGUGAUCGGCAACACUGGAACUGAGACACGGUCCAGAAUCCUACGGGAGGCAGCAGUAGGGAAUCUUCCGCAAGGGGCGAAAGCCUGACGGAGAACCGCCGCGUGAGUGAUGAAGGUCUCCGGAUCGUAAACCUCUGUGAUUAGGGAAGAACAAAUGUGUAAGUAAAUAUGCACGUCUUGACGGUACCUAAUCAGAAAGCCACGGCUAACUACGUG